rnacentral:rRNA from 1 species
GACGAACGCUGGCGGCGUGCUUAACACAUGCAAGUCGAACGGAAAGGCCUCUUUCGGGGGGUACUCGAGUGGCGAACGGGUGAGUAACACGUGAGUAACCUGCCCUUGACUUUGGGAUAACUUCAGGAAACUGGGGCUAAUACCGGAUAGGAGCUCCUGCUGCAUGGUGGGGGUUGGAAAGUUUCGGCGGUUGGGGAUGGACUCGCGGCUUAUCAGCUUGUUUGUGGGGUAGUGGCUUACCAAGGCUUUGACGGGUAGCCGGCCUGAGAGGGUGACCGGCCACAUUGGGACUGAGAUACGGCCCAGACUCCUACGGGAGGCAGCAGUGGGGAAUAUUGCACAAUGGGUGGAAGCCGGAUGCAGCAACGCCGUGUGCGGGAUGACGGCCUUCGGGGUGUAAACCGCUUUCGCUCAUGACGAAGCUUUGUGUGACGGUAGUGGGUAAAGAAGCACCGGCUAACUACGUG